GUUAGGAUUUGAUUUAGAGUUAGGAUUUGGUUAGGAUUUGAUUUAGGAUUAGGAUUUGAUUAAGAUUUGGUUAGGAUUUGGUUUAGGAUUUAGAAUUUGGUUUAGGAUUUAAGAUUUGAUUAGGAUUUGGUUUAGGAUUUGAGAUUUGAUUUAGAAUUUAGGAUUUAAUUUAGGGUUUAAGGUUUGAUUAGGAUUUGGUUUAGGAUUUAGGAUUUGGUUAGAAUUUGGUUAGGAUUUGAUUUAGGGUUAGGAUUUGGUUAGGAUUUGAUUUAGGAUUAGGAUUUGAUUAGAGUUUGGUUUGGAAUUUAGGAUUUGGUUAGGAUUUGAUUUAAGAUUAGGAUUUGAUUAGGAUUUGGUUUAGGAUUUAGGAUUUGGUUAGGAUUUGAUUUAGGAUUUAGGAUUUGAUUAGGAUUUUAUUUAGGAUUUGAUUAGGAUUUGAUUUAGGAUUUAGGAUUUUAUUAGGAUUUAUUUAGGAUUUAAGAUUAAGUUAGUUUUUGGCCUAAAGCUUGAAUGAAGUCUAAUAGGAUUUUAAUUAAGAUUAAAUUAAGAUUGAAUUGAGAUGUAUUUGAGAUAUAUUUGUGAUCAUUCUAAUGUUU
rnacentral:lncRNA from 1 species